UUUAGGUGUCUUGACCUUUUUGGGGUCGGGGUGAAAAGGGAAUCCAGUGAAAAUCUGGAGCUAUACCCGUAGCUGUUAAUUCGUUAUGCGUUGCACGAUUCGAGCCACUGUUUGUAAUGGGAAGGCCGUGCAAGGAGAAUAAGCCAGAAGACCUGCCUUAAACUG
rnacentral:ncRNA from 1 species